rnacentral:tRNA from 1 species
GGCGAGGUAGCCAAGUGGUAAGGCAGGGCUCUGCAAAAGCUCUAUCACCGGUUCGAUUCCGGUCCUCGCCUCCA